CAAAAUAAUAAAUUGGUUUUAUCUGAUUAUAAAUAUUUUUUUUAUUUUUAAUCUAAUGCCAGUUCCAUUAUUCUAUCAUAUAUACAAAACUUAUAUUGAACAGCAGUUUUAGUUAAGAAAAACUAAAUAAAUAAUGAUUUUGAAAUAGAAAGGGUUCUGCUGUCUAUGCGACAACAGAAUUGUUAGCUACUGUGUUUCCUCGAAAAUAAGACCCGGUCUUAUAAUAAUUUGUGCUGCAAAAGACUCGCUAGGGCUUAUUUUCAGGGGAUGUCUUAUUUUUCAUGUACAAUAAUUAAUAUUUGUUCAUGUUCAAGAAACACAUUUCUUCAGGUUGAAGAAAUACAUUUAUUCAUGUUCAAGAAACAUUCAAAAAGAAACAUUCUAAUACAGCCAUGUCGUCUUCUUCUGGGACAUCGUCAUAAAGCUCCAAAUGACGAAUUCCAGUCUGAAUUUUUUGCGACUUCAUUUCCUCUAAGACCAUUGGCCCUAGCCUCUCAUGUUGAGCAAUAGAGCUCUCUUCAAAUGAGCUCUUCUUGUCCAUGUAGCCUGCUCUAGGGCAUUGGCAACACAACUAUCCAUUAUUUUAUCCCAUGCAUUCUUCACCCAAGUAACGACUUCUUGUAGCUUAGGCUUUAUAGUUUCCUCAUUGAUUUCUCUCCG
rnacentral:lncRNA from 1 species